GGGAGAUUGAGAAAAAUGAGUAUUGGGGAUAUAUUACAAAUUGCGGUACGGAAGGCAAUCUUCAUGGGAUUCUCGUCGGGAGAGAAGUUUUGCCGGAUGGGAUUCUGUAUGCUUCUCGGGAAUCUCAUUAUUCCGUUUUCAAAGCCGCUAGAAUGUAUAGAAUGGACUGUGUGAAGGUUGACACUCUGAUAUCUGGUGAGAUCGAUUGUGCUGACCUUAGAGUCAAGUUGCUUGCUAACAAAGACAAAC
rnacentral:misc_RNA from 1 species